rnacentral:rRNA from 1 species
UACCAGCACCCCGAGUGGUCGGGACGAUUAUUGGGCCUAAAGCAUCCGUAGCCGGUCAUGCAAGUCCUCCGUUGAAUCCACCUGCUUAACAGAUGGGCUGCGGAGGAUACUACAAGGCUAGGAGGCGGAAGAGGCAAGCGGUACUCAGUGGGUAGGGGUAAAAUCCUCUGAUCCAUUGAAGACCACCAGUGGCGAAAGCGGCUUCCUGGACCAGUACCGACGUUCAGGCACGAAAGCGUGGGGAGCAAACAGG